rnacentral:rRNA from 1 species
UACAGAGGGGGCAAGCGUUGUUCGGAAUUACUGGGCGUAAAGCGUGCGCAGGCGGUCUUUUAAGUCAGAUGUGAAAUCCCCGGGCUUAACCUGGGAACUGCGUUUGAAACUGGAAGGCUUGAGUGUGGCAGAGGGGGGUGGAAUUCCACGUGUAGCAGUGAAAUGCGUAGAUAUGUGGAGGAACACCGAUGGCGAAGGCAGCCCCCUGGGCUAACACUGACGCUCAUGCACGAAAGCGUGGGGAGCAAACAGG